AUAACGUGCUGCAUAUAAAUACAUUAUUUUGGCUGUUACACACUGAAGUGUCUGAGAAUCACUAGUAGCAGAUAAUAGGAAGUGCUUUUGAUUUUACGAAGACUAAUGUCAUGCUGCGGCAGAAAGGAAGUAUUUAUCUUUAGCUCUACGUCUUCUGCAUAUCAGCUUGAAUACAGUUUAAGGACACAUUGUAAGGUGCUUCAUUCUGAUGUAAAGAUGGUGGUUUUCCUAAACUGUUUAUUUGCAUUCGUUCUCUACCUAAGAGCAUCAUCUGCUAGUGAUAACUCUUGGAA